GAUGAAGAACGUAGCGAAAUGCGAUAAGUAGUGUGAAUUGCAGAAUUCCGUGAAUCAUUGAAUCUUUGAACGCACAUUGCGCCUCCUGGUAAUCCGUGAGGCAUGCCUGUCCGAGCGUCAGUAAAAAGCAACUCGGCCGCGGCUGGCGGUUGGUGAUGGAGGAAGAGCACGUCUCGUUGUCGGUCUCCCCUCCCAAAAUCAACGGCGGAAUGUCACUGGCACUCGGUGUUGUAGUAUUAUUCGCCGAUCACCCCUUGUUGUUCCUGCCGCCCAAACCCCCACAAUUCUCUUGAUUGACCUCGGAUCAGGUAGGGAUACCCACUGAACUUAAGCAUAUCAAUAAGCGGAGGA
rnacentral:misc_RNA from 1 species